CCAUUCCCGACACGGGGAGGUAGUGACGAAAAAUAACAAUACAGGACUCUAACGAGGCCCUGUAAUUGGAAUGAGUACAUUCUAAACCCCUUAACGAGUAUCCAUUGGAGGGCAAGUCUGGUGCCAGCAGCCGCGGUAAUUCCAGCUCCAACAGUGUAUGCUAAAGUUGUUGCGGUUGAAAAGCUCGUAGUUGGAUCUUGGGUGGGCGCCGCCGGUCCGUCGCAAGGCGUGUCACUGGCGGCGCUCGCCUCGCCUUCGGUUCUCCGUCGGUGCUCUUGACUGAGUGUCGGCGGUGGCCGAUAAGUUUACUUUGAAAAAAUUAGAGUGUUCAAAGCAGGCUGGUCGCCUGCAUAGUGUUGCAUGGAAUAAUGGAAUAGGACCUCGGUUCUAUUUUGUUGGUUUUCGGAGCGCGAGGUAAUGAUUAAGAGGGACAGACGGGGGCGUCCGUACUCUGCCGUUAGAGGUGAAAUUCUUGGAUCGGCGGAAGACGAACUACUGCGAAAGCAUUCGCCAAGAAUGUUUUCUUUAAUCAAGAGCGAAAGUCAGAGGUUCGAAGACGAUCAGAUACCGUCCUAGUUCUGACUAUAAACGAUGCCAACUAGCGAUCGGGAGGCGUUACCAUGACGACCUUCCCGGCAGCUUCCGGGAAACCAAAGUCUUUGGGUUCUGGGGGAAGUAUGGUUGCAAAGCUGAAACUUAAAGGAAUUGACGGAAGGGCACCACCAGGAGUGGAGCCUGCGGCUUAAUUUGACUCAACACGGGGAAACUCACCCGGCCCGGACACAGGUAGGAU
rnacentral:rRNA from 1 species